rnacentral:misc_RNA from 1 species
AAAGGAUAUGUUAGUAGAGGGAAAGAAUUUUUGAAUGAGAUGUUGGAGAAAGGAAUUUCUCCGAGUGUAGUCACUUAUUCUUGUUUAAUUAAUGGAUUUUGUAAGCAGGGAAAAUUGAAAGAAACUACAAUGUUGUAUGAUGAUAUGUUGGGGCGCGGAAUCCAGCCUGACAUUGUUACUUUUACGGGCAUGAUUGGUGGCCUCGGCAAUAAUGG